UCACAUCUUCUUCUCAUCGCAGCACCCACUGUGUAUAGUAUCUUCUCAUCUUAUUAUUUUUCUCUCUCAUUUUUUGUCAUUUUGGAUACUUGAAUUUCAUCCCAAUGAGGAAGAAUACCCAAAUUGAUAGGAAGUGCCGUAUGACACUAUACAGCAGCGUAUUUUACUCUCGGUCUCAUAAUCGUUAUCAUCCACUAAUUUCAAAUUCAUCUCGAUUCGUACUGUGAUCCAGUGCGUUCGUUUUGUAAUUUUUCAUUGGUUCGAUGAAUCAUUAUGGUUUCGAUUGUUCUUCGCUGUGUGUGUGAUUUGAGAAGGGAAUCUGAGGGUUAUUAAUUUUUGUAAUUAUUUUCAGAUUUAUUUAUUUGUUAUGUUAUGUUAGGUUCGAUGCCACGUCGAUGGUAGCUACGUGCAAUGACCAACGAUGCUAUGAUUGAACCAAAAUCAAGAGUGAAUUGUUUCGCAUCUUGAUAGGAAUCUGUGGAUUUCGUAACUUUCAAUUCACGGAGCCGUUUUAUGCGAUUACAUUUUAUAAUUUAUAUAUAUUAAUCAUUUUAUUGCUUUUACUUUUGCGUUGUUUAUGUGAAGCCUGUGAUGAUCAAUCUUAUUUGGAAUUACCGUCUGAACAUCCUUGAUGUGAAAUUUUGGCUGUUUUUCUGAGGCUUCAUUUUAUAUUCAAUAUAUUAAAAUUAUUUAUUUUAUUUCUCUAUUUGAUGAUGCCUCAGUUCGCCAUAAAGAAUGGUAGAGUUUUUAACAGUGGCUCUUCUAUCGUUUUGAACAUUGAGGUAUAACAAUAUGGCUAGUCAUCGUUUCGGGCGUCAUUAUUGGCGUAUCGAUUGUUUCUCGUCUACAUUUUAUACUUGUAGAUACCUAUUUUAAAUAUAUUUUGAUUUGACAUUUGAUUGAUAGAUUAGUGCAGAUGAUGUGUAAAAUGUCAUUUCUUCACUUUGAACCUAAUGGAGUUAAAUAUCCUUGCGGACUCUAUGCAUUCACUGAUGCACUUGUUAAAUUCUCUUUGUCUCAAGUUGUUUUUUUUCUUUGUUGAUUGAGAUUCUGCUUAUCCAUUAAAUUGUUUUCUCGACAACCUUACCUGAUUUCAUUAAUGUGUAACACGGGGAAAUCAGUAGAAUUCCUAUCGAUUUUACACUAUCAUCCAUCUUCAUAUCCAUUAUUCAUUCUUUUCAAACAAGGCACACCUUAAUUAUUCACUGUGUUAGUAUGGAAUGGAUGCGUUGUUAUAAACUUUGGACCUGUUCAACCCUAUCCUAUUGUCCAUCAAUUAUUGGAACCAUCAAGAAAAUAUAGGUCUGUUGGGAAUUGCCUCAUAUCAUUGAAGAAAAAUAGAUGUGGGUAUUGCCUCAAAUCAUUGAUGAAAAUUAGAUAUUGGAGUUUCCUCAAAUCAUUGAAGGAAAAUAGAUACUUCAAAUGUCACUUCAAGAAUAAUUUGAAACAUACCUUUUGCAAUAUGGCAUAAUUAAAUGAGUACUGUAGUUAAUUAUUUAUAUUGGUUACAAUAUAAUAUACCAAAUAUAAUAUCCAUAAUUAUAGAUUGUUUAUAUAAAAUAAAUUGUAGAAAAUUAAGUGAGACUUCUGUUUUCCUAGAAACGCAAAUAAUAUUAAAAACAAAAAAAUGUCGGCAAUGAUAUGAAAAUUACUCUCUGUACUGUUAUGAAAUAGAAAAUACUUUCUACUUUAAUAGUACAUAAUUUUUAUUUUCAAAUAUAAGUAGUAAAGUAGUAAAUAAUAUGUAAUUUAUAGUACAUUAAAAUUUCUGUACAGAUUGAUCAUAAAUAUUAAAUUUUAUUACAAUACUAUAAGGGAAUUAAAUGAAUAAGGAUUCCAAAUAUAUAAAUAAUAAAUAUAUCCACAAUUUUAUUUUCUAUCUAGUUAAAUUUAUUGGAAAGCUCACAAUAUGGCUACCCAUUGCCAACUUUUUUCCCUCAAUACUGACUACUAGUGUCAGUUCUGGAAAUGCACACGCUAUGGUUAUUUGUGCCAAUUCUUUUCACUCAAUACUCACUACCAGUGUCAGUUCUUGAAAUGCCUACAAUAUGACUAUUCGUGUCAAUUCUUUUCCAUCAAUACUGACUACCAGUGUUAAUUCUUGAUAUUCCCACAAUUUGGUUGUGUGUGCAAAUUCUUAGUACCAAGGAAAGAAAGGAAGAGAAGUUUGUAGGAAAUUCAUCGGUGAACAAUUGAGGGAGAAAGAAUAAGUUGAAUGAAAGCGCAUUCAACUUGAAACGAGUUAUAAUGAGGGGAGAAUGCCUCUAUUUAUAACGAUGAGAUUUUUUCAAAGUUCUUCAUCUCUCCAAUGUGGGACUUGAGAGUUAUUUUUUUCAAUUUUUUUCUAUGUGAGACUUGAGAGCCUUUUUUAGAUUUCACACCUAAAAGUUCUCACUUAUGGUUUUCAACAAACCAAGUUCCAACAAUCCCUCACUUGAAAUUAAAAAAAUGAUUUUCGAGAAUUUUUGUGGUCACAAUAAGAUUGUGCAUAAACAAAGGUGUCAUGCGACUUGAACCUAUGCAUAAUGAGUAAGAUCCAUAUUUUACUAGAGUGACUCGUAGUCUUGAACUCUAUCUCCAACAUCAAACCACACACAACCAUUUCAAAUGUGUAUUCUGUAAAACUCGUACGUAAAAGUUCAUGCACGUCUAUCCUAGUAUAGUGAACGCUCUAAAAGUUUAUGCCUUAGAAUUUCAUAGGAAGCGACCCUCACUUCCACAUUCACAUAAGUGAGUCUAUCAAGAGUAGUCAUGUAGCUUAGAUACUCCACUCCAAUUGGAGUAUAGAUCUCAUUAAGAGUUUAACUCAUCAUUACAUAUGCUUCAGGAAUCAUGCUUAUCAUAAUUUUAUAGCAUGUUCAUUCUCAUAUCACUUCAUAACUUAUUAUUAUCAAUUAAACCUAUUUAUUGGGAUCUCCAAUCAAUUAGGUCGGGUUAUCAUCCUGAGCGAUCCUCGUUUUAAGGGCAAUAGUCUCAUACUCGUAGUACUAUUAUAAACUUUCUCUCUAGCUAGUCCAUUCAUCAAAGGAUAUGUUAAGUUAUUCUCAGUGCGUACAAGAUACACUCUAACAUCUCCUGUACAGAAUAACUCUUUAAUGGUGUUGUGUUUACGACGUAUUUGUCGUUUUUAUCGUUAUAAAAGCGACUCUCAAUUUUUGUAAUAGUCGCGAUACUAUUACAAUGAAUCAACACAACUGAUAUCAGUUUUUCCCAUAGGGGAAUCUAUACAAGCAACAUUUUUAGCCAACUUGCUUCUUUAGUAGUCGUUGCUAGUGCUAUCAUCUCCACUUCCAUAAUGGAUUGAGCUAAAAUACUUUGUUUCUUGUUAGACUCUAGAUAGUCCAUAUCACCAGUUAUGACUUCUUGCCACAAAUCAGCAUCAAAAGAAGUCAAAACUUCUUGGGAAGUUGAUGGAUUCUCCUCCAAUAUAUAAACAAUAUAAUCACGUAUAUAUUCUCUAGCAGAUGUUGCUCUUUUACUUCUUCUAGGUUCUAUUUCAAACCUUUCAUUUUUUAUCAUAAUCACAUGUUUAUGAUUAGUUGAUGUGCCCUCACUAUUCCUCAAUUUAAAAUAGAUUUUCUAUUCAUUGAAGUCGGCAUCAUUAGACUCACUGAUCAUUUUUGCAUUAAGGUCAUAAAAUCUCUAUGCAUUGUUGUUUACAUCAUACCCAACUAAUACACAUUCACAGGCUCUAUGAGUUUAACUCUUUAGGGGCAUAUCAUCAUAAAUGAUUUCACGAGCAAUUCUAUGUAUCUCAUUGGACUGAAACUCUACUAAUUUAUCAUCAGUCAUAUGAUACUCGAGGUAACGACUAACAACAUAUUUUUUAGUCUCACCUUCCUCAGUACCAUAUUUCUUUUCAAGUGAAUACCAAAUUAAUUUGGCAGACAUGUAUGGACUAUAGUAAUCAUAGAGAUCAUGAGAUAACCCAUUCAGAAUGAAAUUCUUACACAGGUAAUUAUUUUCAUUCCAGAUAGCUAUUUUAAUAACUAGUUUAUCCAUUUUCUCUAUUUCAGCUUUUUCCAGAAACACUCAUAUAUCGGUUUUUAGAAUGUGAGCAACAUUUCUCAUAGUGAGGAAAAUUUUCGUAUUAUGUUGCCACCAUUUAAAAUUUGUCCCUUCAAACCGAAAUGGUUUGUUCAGGUCAAAGCUAUUUGGUCUAGAAAUAUUAUCUACGAAUGUCAUUGUAGUAGAAAAGUCUUAAAAUUGUUGUUAUGUUGCUUGCAACAAUUCUAAAUGGGACGAAAUAAUAUUUACAGGCUGAGUCAUGAACAAGUCUCUCUAUUUAAGAUGUUUCGUGACAUUGUCCAAAUUGUGCAAGCAGAAUAUCAACCACGUCGUCCCCAAGACAAAAUUGCCCUGUCCUAUAUUAUCAAAUUCUUAUUGCACUGUAAGAAUUAAUCUUGAAUACACCCACCACAAUAUGGCUACCCGUGCCAAUUCUUUUCCCUUAAUACUAAUUAUCAGUUUCAGUUCUCGAAAUUCUCACAAUUUGGCUGUGUGUGACAAUUUUUAGUACCAUAGAAAGAAAGGGAGAAAAAUUUGCCAGAAAUGCAUCGACAUACAUUUGGGGGGAAAGAAAAAGUUGAAUUAAAGCGCAUUCAACUUGGGACGAGUUAUAAUACGGGGAUAAUUCCUCUAUUUAUAACUUGAGAUUUUUCAAAGUUUCUCAUCUCUCCAAUGUGAGACUUGGGAGUUGUUUUUUCAAAACUUUUUUAUGUGGGACUUGCGAGUUUUUUUAGAUUUCACACCCCACAAAUUCUCACUUAUGAUUUUCAACAAACCAAGUUCCAACAUCAAUUUAUCUACUAACAAAUAUCAUCCAAUUAUGAUAUAUAUUGAGACACUCUCCACCGAUUCACACAACUCAAAGGCGCAUGAGAGUUAGAUUGGUUGAAGAAUAAUUAUCCUAGCCUAGAUUAGUGGAGAGCCAUAUGGUGUUUUUAUUGGCCCGUAGUGGCAUUAUUAUUGAGUUGAGAAUGAUGGGGAAAUAUUGUUAUGGAUACACCAGAGAUAACACAUACUCUCGAGCUUUCUCAUGGUUGUCGUUGUCAAGACUUGCAUACAAUCCAUUACAAAAUUUAAUGCAUAUGAAUAUUCCUCAUACAGCUUAGGGUGGAUGCAUUAUACUUCAUUUGCAUAUUUCCUUCUCAUGUAUGGCAAAUAAUUAUCGUUAUGCGUCCUCUUGAUAAUGAAGAUUGCUUGGCUUAGAAAUUUAUGAAUGAUGAUGAUUUACGACACCUUCUACUUAUAAGAUACUCUCUAAUCAUCAAAACCAAGCUCGAGUCAAGAUAUUUCUCUGGAGGAUUGCACAUGAGUCAUUCAUAAAGAAUAAGAUGCGGUUUGGUAGGAAUCUUAUAUUGGAUGAUACAUGCAGAGUUUGCCAUAAUCACAUAGAAACUUCCUUACAUGUGCUUCACAAUUGCACCUUCGCCACCAAACUGUGAAGUAUGUUAGGGUGACAACCCUCCUAUGUUGAAUUCUACUCUUUGUUGUUACAGUCUUGAUUGAACAUCAAAUUAUCUCAAGGGCAUGGAAAAAACUCUAAUAAUAAUCAGGUUUGAUUCCUUAGCAUCUGGUGUUUGGAAUAACUUGUGAUAGCCUUUGGAGAAGAAGAAACCAACUAAGUUUCUAGGAAACUUCUCUUAGUGCUACAACUCUUUGUAUUGAUUGAUGGAGGGCGAUGGUCAAUUUGUUUGGAGCUACAUCUUGAAGGAAGGAAAUUCAGUAGCAGAUUCUCUUGCAAAGUUUGGGCUAUCUUAGGAAAUAAUCUGCGAAUUUAUGAUGUUAUCCCAAACUUCUGUAUAGUUUAAGUUAGUUUAGAUUUAGCAUAUAGGAGAAGGCUAUCUCCCCCUUAGUCUUUUUUUUUGUUUCCUUGCUUUGCGGCUAUAGCCAUCUAUUGUCAUAACAAGAAAAUAUAAUGUGCACAUUAUUGAAAUUGAUUGACUAUAAUUGUCAUGUGUUGGUAUUGCUUUAAUAUUAUAGUUUAUGUAAAUUGUGCUAUAAUGGUCGUAGUUGGUAUAUUACCUUUCCCCCUUAUGUUUUCUUGUGUUUGGUAUAUGUUGCUUAUAUAGGGUGAGUACAAUGUAGCAUGGAUAUCCAUUUUUUUGUUUCUCACAUGUAUCCUCGCACUAGAGACAACCCUGUCCGAGUCGAGAAUAUCCACAGAUAUGUGGGGCUAACUCUCCUAGCGGGUAUUUUUUCCAUCCACAAAACUCCAACCCGAGAUAUUGCUUAAGGGAGUCAAGCAUGUACGAUCUUGAGUGAAUUUCAGUCACAAUCAAGACUAUGUUGAUUGCGGUUGUGUUUGGGAUAAACCUCAUUUAGUCUGGUUGACUUUUCUUUGGUAAUUAAUAAUAUUCUCUUCUAUUUUGCAUUAACAUUUAUAAAAUACUUAUAUCUUGUAGUUUUAUAUUUGUGAUAUGAGUAAAGCUUAAGGAAAAAUCAUUGCGUUAAGAUCCAUGUGUUUUAGCCUUUUUAGUUUUAUGUUUUGGGUGGAGUCCAAUGAAAGAUUUUGUAAAUUUUAUCAUUUCUAUUUUAGUAUUUUGGAGAAAGUCUAAUGCCAUCUUUUACUAUUAAAAUCAUUUUAUUCACAUUUAAUAUUCUAGGCAAAGCGAGAUAAAGUUUUUAUAAAUACAAUUCGGUCAUGAUUGAAAAAUUGUUUGUAUAAGAAAAAAAUUGUGUAUUAUAAUUAUUAAAUAUGUUUAUUUUAUUUAUUCUACUAGUUAAUCUGGCAUAACAAAAUAAAAUUUGGGCAAGGAAUCUCCUAACUUUGGAUAUAUUCAACUAUUUUGGCAUGUAUAAAUUUUACAUAAUAAUUAGCAAAUAAAGGAGUCUAUCUUAAUUGUGUAAUACCAUAAAUUUUUUGUGUAUGUUUUAUUAAUUAUUUAUUUUAUUAACGAUUAAUUUUAGAAAUUAAUAGGUAUUGAUUUAGACUAAACCGUAGUUCAUAGAUAGUCUUGUUUUGUGAUUUACUAUUUUUUGGUAAAUUUUAGUAAUUUUUUGUGAUGGAAAGUUUUUGAACUGUUGUCGGGCCCAAAUUCGUCUGAAUUCGGCACAAUAACAUGUUUUUAAGUUUCGUAACUCGAAAUCAAAUUCUAAUUGCGCCAUUGCCUUCGAAAUAUUAUUUUGAGUCAAAAUAGAUAUCAAGUUUGUCCAUAACACAUUUCUAAAUAUUUUUCACUCCAAAUUUAGUGUUUCCAAGUUCUAACCGUAAACCGAAAUCGAGAGAUUUUUAAUAUCUGGCCGAGUAUUAGCCAAAAAUACUUGAGCAUGGUUUAAUCGCGAAUGUUUUCUGAAGAGCUCACAUCACUUUCAUGAGUGAAGCUUGCUUGUCAAACAAGCAAAAGUACACAUCUCUUAAACAAAAUCUCUUAAAUCACCCAUAUACCUCGUUAUUCACUGUGUUAGUAUGGAAUGGAUGCGUUGUUAUAAACUUUGGACCUGUUCAACCCUAUCCUAUUGUCCAUCAAUUAUUGGAACCAUCAAGAAAAUAUAGGUCUGUUGGGAAUUGCCUCAUAUCAUUGAAGAAAAAUAGAUGUGGGUAUUGCCUCAAAUCAUUGAUGAAAAUUAGAUAUUGGAGUUUCCUCAAAUCAUUGAAGGAAAAUAGAUACUUCAAAUGUCACUUCAAGAAUAAUUUGAAACAUACCUUUUGCAAUAUGGCAUAAUUAAAUGAGUACUGUAGUUAAUUAUUUAUAUUGGUUACAAUAUAAUAUACCAAAUAUAAUAUCCAUAAUUAUAGAUUGUUUAUAUAAAAUAAAUUG
rnacentral:lncRNA from 1 species